rnacentral:rRNA from 1 species
AUUGAACGCUGGCGGCAGGCCUAACACAUGCAAGUCGAGCGAGCGGCGGACGGGUGAGUACUGUAUGGGGACUGCCCGAUAGAGGGGGCUUACUACUGGAAACGGUAGCUAAUCCUGCAUACUAUCGGACAACCCCUAUGGGAUUAGUUAGUAGGUGAGGUAAUGGCCCACCGAGGCGACGAUCCCUAGCUGGUCUGAGAGGAUGAUCAGUCACACUGGAACGGAGACACGGCCCAGAAUCCUACGGAGGCAGCAGUGGGGAAUAUUGGACAAUGGGCGCAAGCCUGAUGCAGCCAUGCCGCGUGUAUGAAGAAGGCCUUAGGGUUGUAAAGUACUUUCAGUCGGGAGGCGUUACCAACAGAAGAAGCACCGGCUAACUCCGUGCCAGCAGCCGCGGUAAUUC